rnacentral:rRNA from 1 species
AAUCAACGCUGGCGGCGUGCCUCAGACAUGCAAGUCGAACGCGAAAGUCCCCUUCGGGGGACAAGUAGAGUGGCGCACGGGUGAGUAACACGUAGGUAAUCUACCUUCGGGUGGGGAAUAACAACCGGGAACGGUUGCUAAUACCGCAUAAUGCAGCGGCACCUAAUGGUGACAGUUGUUAAAGCGGGGGAUCGCAAGAUCUCGCGCCUGAAGAGGAGCCUGCGGCGGAUUAGCUAGNGGUAGGGUAAUGGCCUACCAAGGCGACGAUCCGUAGCCGGCCUGAGAGGGCGGUCGGCCACACUGACACUGACAUACGGGUCAGACUCCUACGGGAGGCAGCAGUCGGGAAUUUUGGGCAAUGGGCGAAAGCCUGACCCAGCAACGCCGCGUGAAGGA